UUGUAGUUUUCUUUUCUCUUUCUCUCUCUCUCUCUCUCUCUCUCUCUCUCUCUCUCUCUCUGUGUGUGUGUGUGUGUGUGUGUGUGUGUGAGAGAGAGAGAGAGAGAGAGAGAGAGAGAGAGAAACAGAGAUUUAGCUAUG
rnacentral:miRNA from 1 species